GACGAACGCUGGCGGCGUGCCUAACACAUGCAAGUCGAACGGGGGUAUUUAUUUCGAUGAAUACCUUAGUGGCGAACGGGUGAGUAACGCGUGAGCAACCUAUCCUUAAGAGGGGGAUAACAUCUGGAAACAGAUGCUAAUACCGCAUAAGACCACACUGCCGCAUGGCAGAGGGGUCAAAGGAGCAAUCCGUUUAAGGAGGGGCUCGCGUCCCAUUAGAUAGUUGGUGAGGUAACAGCUCACCAAGUCAGCGAUGGGUAGCCGAGCUGAGAGGCUGAUCGGCCACACUGGAACUGAGACACGGUCCAGACUCCUACGGGAGGCAGCAGUGGGGAAUAUUGGGCAAUGGGGGGAACCCUGACCCAGCAACGCCGCGUGGGGGAUGACGGCCUUCGGUUGGUAACCUACUUUCUAGCAGGGACGAAGGGUGACGUGACGGUACCUGUAGAAGAAGCACCGGCCAACUACGUGCCAGCAGCCGCGGUAAACGUGUAGUCGU
rnacentral:rRNA from 1 species